rnacentral:rRNA from 1 species
GACGUAGGAGGCGAGCGUUGUCCGGAUUCAUUGGGCGUAAAGAGCGCGCAGGCGGCUUGGUAAGUCGGAUGUGAAAACCCGAGGCUCAACCUCGGGCGUGCAUCCGAUACUGCUCGGCUAGAGGUAGGUAGGGGAGAUCGGAAUUCCUGGUGUAGCGGUGAAAUGACGCAGAUAUCAGGAGGAACACCGGUGGCGAAGGCGGAUCUCUGGGCCUUACCUGACGCUCAGGCGCGAAAGCUAGGGGAGCGAACUGG